GUCAGACAACUGUGAAUGAAGUUCUUUCACUGCAACGAUUUCUCUACCAGUGCAUGGUAUAGAACAAUAGAUGCCAGGCAGAUGAGAAAAUUGAAACUAAAAGCACCUUUUAAAGCUGAUAAAAGAUGGCUCACCCACCAAUAAAGAUAUAAUAGCAUAAGCACCAAGAUACCUAAUAAUAUAAAGCAGCAAACAAUAUCCUCACUACAAUACAAUUUUAUAG
rnacentral:misc_RNA from 1 species